rnacentral:rRNA from 2 species
CACAAGCGGUGGAUGAUGUGGUUUAAUCGAUGCAACGCGAAAACCUUACCACCUUGACAUGUACGGAAUCCUUUAGAGAUAGAGGAGUGCUCGAAAGAGAGCCGUAACGCAGGUGCUGCAUGGCUGUCGUCAGCUCGUGUCGUGAGAUGUUGGGUUAAGUCCCGCAACGAGCGCAACCCUCGUCCUAUGUUGCCAGCACGUAAUGGUGGGAACUCAUGGGAGACUGCCGGGGUCAACUCGGAGGAAGGUGGGGAUGACGUCAAAUCAUCAUGCCCCUUAUGUCUUGGGCUUCACGCAUGCUACAAUGGCCGGUACAAAGGGCUGCAAUACCGCAAGGUGGAGCGAAUCCCAAAAAGCCGGUCUCAGUUCGGAUCGUAGUCUGCAACUCGACUACGUGAAGUCGGAAUCGCUAGUAAUCGUGGAUCAGAAUGUCACGGUGAAUACGUUCCCGGGUCUU